rnacentral:lncRNA from 1 species
GGGCGGAUGAAUUUCUUCUCUAGAAGUUCCUGUAGAUGAACCUUCAACUCUCUCAGCUCUGCCGGGGCCAUCCGAUAAGGAGCCUUCGAGAUAGGCCCAACACCCGGUAAGAGAUCGAUCCGAAAAUCAAUCUCCCGAUCAGGAGGUAAUCCAGGUAGAUCAUCAGGGAAUACUUCUGGAUACUCUCUCACAACAGGGAUAUCCUCUAGCUUGGUUUCUUUUGUAGUGUCUACCACACAAGCUAGGUAGGCCUGACACCCCUUUCUGAGGGCCUUCCUUGCACUCAUUGCAGAGAUAAUGUGCAAAGAGGGAUUUAUAGUGGGUGCAUCACCCUGAUAGAAGAUUUUCUAUUCACCAGGUAUCUGAAACACUACCCUCUUGCCAAAGCAAUCAAUGUGAGCAUGAUAUUCAGA